rnacentral:misc_RNA from 1 species
GGACUACAGGGGUUUCUAAUCCUGUUCGCUCCCCACGCUUUCGCUCCUCAGCGUCAGUUACGGCCCAGAGAUGUGCCUUCGCCAUUGGUGUUCCUCCUGAUAUCUGCGCAUUCCACCGCUACACCAGGAAUUCCCAUCUCCCCUACCGCACUCUAGUCUGCCCGUACCCACUGCAGGUCCAAGGUUGAGCCUUGGAUUUUCACAGCAGACGCGACAAACCGCCUACGAGCUCUUUACGCCCAAUAAUUCCGGACAACGCUUGCACCCUACGUAUUACCGCGGCUGCUGGCACC